rnacentral:rRNA from 1 species
AACGAACGCUGGCGGCAUGCCUAACACAUGCAAGUCGAACGAGACCUUCGGGUCUAGUGGCGCACGGGUGCGUAACGCGUGGGAACCUGCCUUUAGGUUCGGAAUAACUCAGAGAAAUUUGAGCUAAUACCGGAUGAUGUCUUCGGACCAAAGAUUUAUCGCCUUUAGAUGGGCCCGCGUUGGAUUAGCUAGUUGGUGGGGUAAAGGCCUACCAAGGCGACGAUCCAUAGCUGGUCUGAGAGGAUGAUCAGCCACACUGGGACUGAGACACGGCCCAGACUCCUACGGGAGGCAGCAGUGGGGAAUAUUGGACAAUGGGCGAAAGCCUGAUCCAGCAAUGCCGCGUGAGUGAUGAAGGCCUUAGGGUUGUAAAGCUCUUUUACCCGAGAUGAUAAUGACAGUAUCGGGAGAAUAAGCUCUGGCUAACUCCGUG